rnacentral:lncRNA from 10 species
CCAGAAGAACACAGUAUGCUGUCUGCAACUAGGAAAGCCAGUGGCAUAACUCAGUUUGAGUCUGAGGGCCGGAGAAGUAAUAGAAAGGGUGGUGGAGGAAUAAGUCCCAGAGUUCAAAGGCUGCAGUACCAGGAACUCCAAAUGAGGGCAGGAGUAAAUGAAUGUUUCAGUUUGAGAAGAGAGAAGAAAAGAAGAGAGAGAAGGAGAACAAGGGAAAGAGAGAAUGAAUUAGCUCUUCCUCUUCGUUUUGCUUCUCUUUGGGUCUCAACAGAUUGAAUCAUGCCCACCUAUAUUGACGCAGCUGGCAGAGAAGAGAGAAGCAGCUGAACAUUGGAACUACAGCUGGACAUUGGAGAGAAGCAGCUUAACUUCAGAGGGACAGGAUGACAGUGAAACUUUGGAGGAGAAUCUGGCUGGAGACGGCAGGACUUCGGGGGAAGAUUACCUACUACCCCCUCCCCUUUUCAGCUCCCCUUCCCACUGAGAGCCACAUUCACUGGCAAUAAAAUUCCCUGCAU